CCCCCACUAUUUUUCAGGUAUCGUGGGCAGUGAGGGUUGAGACGAGACGUGAGAUACGUAGCGGUCGAUAGAGCUUCCGACCCAGGUUAUUGCGGUUUAGUUAUUACCCCUUUUAUUUCUGUUGAUGUAUAGUUUAGUUGGUUUAUGUGGUUCAGUAUUUCAUUACGUUAAAAUAAAAGGAUUUCUGGAUUUUGUAAAAUAAAAGAUUUUCUACCCCUCGUGGUAGCGUUUUUAAAAGAUAAAAGUUCCCGUGUAGGGAACAGCUUUCAAAAGGUUUUCUGUGAUUUUGUAUCUUAGUAUUUCAAAACCUGUUUCUGUGGUUGGAAACAUUUUAACUAAUAGGUAUGGAUUUAUGUUUAAAUGUUGAAUGCAUGAGUGUGAAUCUGUGGUGAAUGGUGUAUGAAUAUAUAUAACGGUUCGUUAUUUGUAUGUUCAUUUGUUGUGGUUGUGCCUGGGUGACUUCUUGUACUUGUGCGACGCCGUGCAAAUACAGGGGAGACUCUGUACGUGUGACCAGUGGAUUUCCUGUAUUUGUGGCGGAUCUGGCAUACUCUGGGGUCAGAUUUUCAAAAAAAAAAUUCAGACGCUUUUCCGCUUUCUCUUAAACUGAAAAGGGACCCCGGGGCGUGACAAAAACUUUCAAUCAAAACUUUCUAUUAAUGUAUUUAAAUGAUUCCACUAACAAAACUUUCCAUUAAUGUAUUUAAAAGGUCCUACUACCAUCUACAAUUCUAUCAUUUUUAUCUACAAUUAUUCAUCAUGACCAUUUCCAUUUCCUUCACUAUAUUUUCAAUUAAUGUAAAUGUCCCACUACCAAACUUUCAAUUGGUAUGCUUAAAUGGUCUCACUACCAUCGACAAUCCUAACCUCUCUAUCUGUAAUUAUUCAUUAUGGCUCUUUUCCUUCCCUCCAUCAGACUUUUAAUUUUUUAUCUCCAAUCAAUUCAUCAAUUCUCUAUCUCUCAUCUUUUGUUAUACACCAUCAUCUCCUUCCCUCGCUCUCUCCCUCUCUCUCACUAAUGCGUGCUCACUUUCCCUUUCCAUCACGACGUUUGUUGGAUAUAUUAAGUGAGAUACACAAAAAGAAUGUUUAAUAUUUUUUUAUUAUUAAUUAUUACUAUAAUUUCUACCCGCUGUAAAGCACAGGCUACUUCACUAGUAUAUAUAUAUAUAUAUAUAGAGUCCGGCUAUGGUGCUUGUAAAAGCACCAAGCACAUGGUACUUGUAAGUUUUUUACCUUUAGAUCUACAUCUUUAAUCAUUUUCAACCGUUAGAUUAUACUAUUCAACCAAUUACCCACUCAACCCUAGGAGGCCUACAUCAUCCUAACCGCACAUCCCUUAAUCCAAGGGCCCAAAACUUACAAGUACCAAUGACUUGGUACUUUUAAAAGCAUAGGAGCUCAAUUCUAUAUAUAUAUAUAUAUAGAAAGAGAGAGAGAGAGAGAGAGAGAGCCCAGCUACUAUCCUCUUAAGAGGAUAGGAACAUUUGUCCUAUCAAGUCAUUUUGGAUGAUCGAGACUUCAAAUUGAUAAUCGGCACGUUGAAAUUGAUCUACACAAUUAGAAAUGUUUAAAAACCGAAUUUUAUAAUUUUUAAAAAUCAUUAUCAAACCCAUUGAAGAGUCAAAAAAUGAACGGUCAAAGACAAAUGACCUUCUGAAAACAAAGGUUGGACUUUCUCAAUUUACGAUUGGAGUUAUUAAACAUUAUCUAAAUAGUAUAAAGAAUCUUCUAUCAAAAAUUCAACCGGUUUGGAUUACUCUACACCGUUAAACAAGCAAACGGCUCAUAUAGGCCGUCAAAAAUUGUCAAUUUCCAGCUGCCUGUCAGACAUCGUGCGCCGCUUUUCUGGAUUCGU
rnacentral:lncRNA from 1 species